rnacentral:rRNA from 1 species
CCGUAGCGAACAGCUCAGUAACACGUGGCCAAGCUACCCUAUGGACGUGGACACCCUCGGGAAACUGAGGCUAAUCCGCGAUACGGCUCCCACGCUUGAAUGCGGGGAGCCGGAAACGCUCCGGCGCCAUAGGAUGCGGCUGCGGCCGAUUAGGUAGACGGUGGGGUAACGGCCCACCGUGCCGAUAAUCGGUACGGGAUGUGAGAGCAAAUAGCCCGGAGAUGGAAUCUGAGACAAGAUUCCAGGCCCUACGGGGCGCAGCAGGCGCGAAACCUUUACACUGCACGCCAGUGCGAUAAGGGGACCCCGAGUGCGAGGGCAUACAGUCCUCGCUUUUGUACACCGUAAGGAGGUGUACGAAUAAGGGCUGGGCAAGACCGGUGCCAGCCGCCGCGGUAAUACCGGCAGCCCGAGUGAUGGCCGCUGUUAUUGGGCCUAAAGCGUCCGUAGCCGGCCGAACAAGUCUGUCGGGAAAUCCAUCCGCCUAACGGAUGGGCGUCCGGCAGAAACUGUUCGGCUUGGGGCCGGAAGAUCCGAGGGGUACGUCCGGGGUAGGAGUGAAAUCCUGUAAUCCUGGACGGACCGCCGGUGGCGAAAGCGCCUCGGAAGGACGGACCCGACGGUGAGGGACGAAAGCUGGGGUC